UGAUGCCCUUAUCAGUUGUUCCGUCUAGAUACUGUGCUCCUGAAUCAAAGAGAUAGAUGCUAUCGGCAUCAAGUUCGGAACAUGUUUUAGCCUCUGGAGCAUAAUGAAUAACUGCUGCAUUUGGGCCAACUGAUGAAAUGGUAGGAAAACUCAAGCCUUUAAAGUACUCUUGCUUGGCUCGAAAACCUUCUAAUUUGUCACUAACAGAUACCUCUGUUAGCUUCAGAGUUUCCACAUG
rnacentral:misc_RNA from 1 species